GGGCGCUUAGCUCAGCGGUAGAGCGGCUGCCUUACAAGCAGUAGGUCGGGGGUUCGACACCCUCAGCGCCCACCA
rnacentral:tRNA from 1 species